ACGCACAUACGACCUCGCAUCUCUCUUUAUUAGUAGCAGGUCCCACCCGGGCUCCCCUACCCCUCCAUCCGCUGCUGCGACACCGAACGCAGCCUGCACAGACACGGCCCCUCUCUCUGCCUUCCCUUCUUUACUUUUCCCCUACUUUCUGCUCGCCAGUGCGGCCCACAGCAACAGAAAUGAUGCAUUUCGGAGAUGACGACGUAAAGAAGCUCUCGCCGACGAACCAGGCGAUGCGGAACAUCGACCACAUGGAGCCGGAGAUGCACUUAGCUUCUGGGCUGCGCUGCGAGGAGGUCAGCGUCAUACACUCCCCCGUGCCGCGGCGGGCCGUGUGGAUGAUGCGUGUCUUUGCGUGCAUCUCGAUGCUGCUUAGCGCCGCGUUGUUCGUCUUAUGGGCCAUCUUCGCCUUUGCAUUCGGGCUGCUGCUUACGGCUGCACACGGCACCGCACUCGGCGCCUUUGUUGUGACCGCCUUCGUCAUCUCCAUCUUUGGGGCGGUGGCCUACCUGCUGACGACGUUGUUUGUGGCAGUGCUUCUGCGGUGCUCGCUAUGCUACAGGUGCAGGUCGUCGAAUGCGACACGCCUGUCCUGCUACGAGGCCGUCAUGUGCGCUCUGAUUUUGUUGUUCUCCUGCGCACUGUCGUGUUUCACCGGCUUCCCCCUCGCAGACUCGCGGUCAGACCAGAACAUGAAAAUGCUGACUGCGAUGUGUGUCCUCACGACCUUUUGCACAGUGUCUUUCGGCGCAUUUUCCGUGCUGCUGGUGAUGCAUGGCGUACCGCGUACGUAGAGCCGUGAGUGCCUCCUCCGCAUCGGUGCUCCGUGCAGCGCUGCGGCGACGACGACUGGGCAGCAUUGUCUUGUGGAUAUCCACACCUGUGGGCGCGCAGAUACGGCGAUGACGGACAGGCGGUACCGCGAGUGCGCCAUUGGAGGCCAGAGACGAAGAAGUCGCUUCGUCGGCGCUGCCACACCCACGACCGCUGCGCCACACAAUCGUCGUCGAUGCGUGUCAGCCAUCCGAUUCGUCUUUUCAACACCCGCGCAUCCUGCUGGCCCUCACUCUCUCUUCGUGCAGCUCUGCACCGCAUACCUUCGCCUUUUGGUCUCUUUCAGUCUCAUGCGUUCUUCGCUGCAGUACGCUGAUCCUGUCUGUGGACCCCACCCGCUGCGCCCUCACGCGCACCCUCACUCAUCUGUUUGCCCUCGCUUCCUUUUCUCUUCGUGUGAUUGGCGACCGUGAGCCGCGGCGUGGGUGGCACUGUCCCUCGCAUGUCCACGUGUGUGCUUGUGUGCACAUUGCGAUGAAGGCUUGCCUUGAAGAGGGAAAGCGGGCGGCCGGCGGGCCGCCCCCUGGCUCUACGACCUCCGCUGUCUCAACCCUCUUUCCCUCUUCCUCUUUCGCAGCCGGCCAGUGGGCCUUUGUGGAUGUCGAAGCGAUGUUUUCCUUUUCGGUUUCUUCAACGGGCUUGCUUCCUAUGCUCUGCGGGUUUGUGUGUGCGCGGCAUUCUCCAGACGGCCCGGGCUAACGAGCACCUCCGGUGCACCGGCUGCAAGCGCGAAUUUUGAAUAUUUCGACGCACGCCGUAGUGCCCUUAGCUGAACCGUUGUUUACAUCCCUUUUCGUGUUGCCAUUCGAAGUCCCGCUCCGGUCUUUGCUGCACUGUAUCUUACACCUUUUUUCAUGCCAGAGUCCGCCACGCCUGUCCGGCCCCCGUGCACAUCUCAACGCGGUGAAACAUGAAGGCUGGACGGAGGGGCGGGCCAGCACUCUGAUAGCAUUUUUCUUUCCCUUUCAGCGCGCCCACCCUCGGCCGCGCAACAUGAGCUCGCCCCUGCUCCACCACCACCCUGACCCUGUCGCAGACUCCAUCGCGUGGUGCGGGGCAGCGCCAGUAAACGUGCGUUGCAACGAUGCGCCGGCUCCGCCAUCUGCACGCGGCCUCAGAGUCUACCUCUACCCCCCGCUGAGCCGGCCGCCCUCACAGCCGCUCACCCAUCAUGCCGGUCGCCACCUGGUGGCGUCCCUCGGGGUGGCGCUCAGGCUCUCCCCCCUCCCACCACUCGUGGGCAGUGCGAGGGCCGUGUGUGUGGGAUACACGCUCGAGUCGCGCCGGCACCCUGCCCGUCAUGUGGAUGGCACCGACGUGCUCGAUGGCGCGGGUGGUCCCGGCGCCGCACCAUCCAGGACCUGGCCGCCGACAUCAGUAGCGAUGAAGCGCUCUGGGUUCGCCACGUCGUGGGCACUUGGCCCUGUCACCGCCGGAGGUUUGCUCUGGCAUUCGGCAUGGGAUAGGCUGUGGAGGGGGAUGCUGUGCCCUGUGGUGCCACGCACUGCGGUGUGUCCCCCCGUUGUCGGGCUUACCGUGUUCGUAAUGAGAAAGCGAAAAGGCCACCAGCGCAGGGAAGCCUUUUACGUGGAAGCAGGGCUGUCUGCCGAGUCGCCCUCUCGAGGGCGGUCAUCAGUUUUGGAUGGCAGCCGGGUGAAUGGAGUGAUGCGCGUGUGACGGAGCACGCCUCUCGCGUCUCUGGUCUGCAUGGAAAACGGCCUCCGCUGAUGCAGCUGACGACAGUUUCCCUUGCAGCGUGGCGAGAAUCCUCUUGAGGUGACGGAUGCGUUGCUGUUGAUGUGGUGAUGAGGGAAGGAGACAACCACAGAGGAAAGUUGCGGCGUUCGAGUUGUUUGCUUCGCCACUGGACCGAUGUCUUUACGCGUUUUGUGUGUUUCAUAUCUUGUUUCCCGUUUUCUUUGAGAAGGGGGGCCGCAUUGACCUUGUGGCUCCUUCUCUCUCGUUGUUUCCGUUUUCCGUGUCGUCGGAGUAGGCCCCGUCUCCCCAUCGGACCCUCUUCUUGUCUCCACCCAGUGAGACAGGAAGGCGGGAGGAGCCGAUGGCUCCCCACUCUCGUUAGUGCACGAAAACUAUUCGUAUAGGGCGCAUUCAUGUCCUUUGAUCAGAAACACGCGCUCUAUUUUUUUUCAGUAUGGCCCCUAGUGUACGCGACACGGUCGCACACAUCCAAGAGGUUGGAUCGAUGGUGACGAGCACGCCGACUCGCUCACGGCCUCCGUUCAACUUUUUCUGCCUUUAUGUAUUUUGCCCCCCCCCCCCUCUCGCUCACAGCGGCGAAGGAGCGUAGGCGUUCACAUAAGUGCCUGUCUGCGUGUGCGUGCAUGCGAGUGAGAGUGCCGGACGCGUUGUCUCCCGACGUCUCUUCCGUUCUGCGUGCUCACGCAGAUUUUUCCGUCUUUUUUUUUCG
rnacentral:misc_RNA from 1 species